GGGCGCAUAGCUCAGUUGGUUAGAGCGCUUCUCUUACACAGAAGAGGUCGAUGGUUCGAGUCCAUUUGCGCCCA
rnacentral:tRNA from 1 species